CAUCUUUUCUUUUAAUUUUUUUUCCUUUCUUCUUCGUCUAUUUCUCUUCCUCCAUGGGGCUUCCUUAUCCAAAAAAAUAUUUGUUUGGCCAUCUCAAACUACGCAAAAUCUGUGGUACCCAGUCUUAGGCUCAAGAACGCUGCGCUAUCGUCUCUCUUCAAUGCCUCACUUCCUCCCAUCUCAAACCCUUUGGAAUUUGGUAACAAGUCCUUCCUCCCCCAUUCCCUAGCUUUCCUUUUCCCUUUCGAAAGCCCUGUUUAUCUUCCCCAAUCUCUGAUAAAGACUCGUUUUUUUACCAGCAUUUCUUGGAUUUUCUUCUGCUGUUCAUGGAAAACUACCUUUUUUUCCCAGUAGAAAUAGAGCUGUGAACUGUCCAAGAUCGGAUUUUUCCCUGUGGGUUUUCCUCCCUUUACCAUUCCAUGGCUUCCUCGGUGCUUAAUGGAGCGGAGAACCUUACUCUCUCUAGGGGAAGAGCCCCCAGUGGACUGGGCUUCUUGGAGUCGUCUCUACAUGGAAGAUGCCUCCCAAAGAUGGGAAUGGUGCCCUUCAAUGGGAAUUCUAGGGCUAGAACCAUGGUACCCAAAUGUAGCCUCUCAUCUUCUAGGCCGGCCAACCAGCCCAGGUUCAUUCAGCACAAAAAGGAGAUCAUAUUUGCUCUCCUGAAUUCAAAGAAUAUCUUACCAGGUUCAAAGGAAUGAUACUCACCUGCAAUGUUCUUGGUAUCAAUCAUUGUCCAUUUUGGUCCCAACAGCUGAUGGAAUCUGAAUCCGAAUCAAUCUGGGUCUGCUGCACUGCCAUCAUACUGUCAACAAAUGAGUUGGAGCCCUCUGUAGUUCUAUCAAAAUUCUGCGAGCAAAUGAUCCUAUGAUAAAUUUAAUAUUUACAUUUACUACCAAAGUAUGCCCAACACUGAGCUCUGCAAGAUUUUAACAUCUAAUAACAGUCCUCUAGAUCCUUGAGCAUCCUAGGAUACAUGUGCAGCCACUUUCAUCUCCAUCCUCUGCUCUCCAUAUUCUACUCUGGUUGUUUUAUGCCGUAUAAAAACCCUGUUGAAGCGUUGAAGCAUGCAACUUUCUGUCAGGGAGGCCAGCCUCACCAUUUCCAGCCUUUUUACAACAAAUCCCCGGGAAUUUAUAACAUAUUCCUUCGCUAUAAAGCUUAAAAAGUAAACUUUUGCAUGGAUAUAAUACUUGUAGCUAUAAGCUUUGAUGUUUAAAUUACAUGCACUGAUUUCCUGAUAUAAUGAAAGAAAACCAGGCGAUGAAAAAUAUCCUUAAGUUGAUAUGCUCGGUUGAUGUGAUGAACUGGAUUCUGGAAAGGACAGACACAUUCAUAUGUUAUAGAGUGGAAGAACAAGCAUAACCAGACUACUCUCAACAAAAUCCGAUUAAAGCCCGUCAAAAGCCAGACUUUUCCAUUGCCGUUUUGGCUGCUGCCGGUUGCCAGACCCUGCCGGUCGGUGUCGCCGGGGCCUGCUUCUCCGGUCAGGGUGGUGGACGGCUGGGGGGAGGGCCUCCUCAUCGGGAAUAAGGGGAGCAAGAGCUCCCUAUUUUGUAAAGAAAACAAAAGAGGAAGAGAAGGACGCACAGAUCCUCUCUUCUGUGAAGAAA